CUACGGGGUGCAGCAGUGGGGAAUAUUGCACAAUGGAGGGAACUCUGAUGCAGCAACGCCGCGUGGAGGAUGACGCAUUUCGGUGUGUAAACUCCUUUUAUAUAGGAAGAUAAUGACGGUACUAUAUGAAUAAGCACCGGCUAACUCCGUGCCAGCAGCCGCGGUAAUACGGAGGGUGCAAGCGUUACUCGGAAUCACUGGGCGUAAAGCGCAUGCAGGCGGUUAAAUAAGUUGGAAGUGAAAUCCUAUGGCUCAACCAUAGAACUGCUUCCAAAACUGUUUAACUAGAGUCUGGGAGGGGAAGAUGGAAUUAGUAGUGUAGGGGUAAAAUCCGUAGAGAUUACUAGGAAUACCAAAAGCGAAGGCGAUCUUCUGGAACAGUACUGACGCUGAGAUGCGAAAGCGUGGGGAGCAAACAGGAUUAGAUACCCGGGUAGUC
rnacentral:rRNA from 1 species